AGUCUUGGGGGUUAGUCCUUGUAUGAGUUGUGUUGAAGGAGUGCUGGUCUCUGGAUCAGCUGCAGUCAUGCCCAUUUCUGCCUGUGGGUACCAUGGAACCUGACCCACGGACUGAUUUUUUGGCUUAGUCUUGGGCCUAUCCUGUCAUCAUGCAUCUCUGUGGGCUGUCUGACCUGGUUACUCUUCAUGGUCUGAUUGUGACUGAACUUCGCUCCCAGCCCGACCCUGGACCUACCUCAUCAUCAUGUGCUCUUGAGUGUCUCUGGCUGGCUCCUGGGACUGCCGUGCUCAUCUUGCUCAGCAUGCCUGGCUCCUGUGCUUUGCAGAGGAUGCUCCACUUCGCCUGCAGCGAUGCUUCCAGGAGGAGGUCAGCAGCUGAGGAAUGGGCCUUAUUUUCCUUCCCAAAUCCUACAGGGAAGAAGCGACCGCAUGCUAGUCAUUGUUUUGAGAUUAUUUAAGAAACCACUGCUAUUGAACUAGCAGGAGAUCCUCUCAUCUGUGACCUAUGCCAGAUCCAUCUGAUUGUUAUGCCCCAGCUGCAGGCCGUAAUUUUCAUGGGAAAGUUUUAAGAAUGCCUGAAGAGUGACCGUCCUCUUUGCUACCCCUCACUGAUUUGUAUGGACGUCUCCUGGCCUCUCCAACAGCACUGUGGAGAGGGUUGUUUGAUUUCUUUUUAAACGUUGUCCUGCCUUCCUCCUCUUUUUUGACAAAACUGUACAUACAUGAAGACUCACUGUGUGUUGAGCAUGGCACAUGAAUGGAGGGACCACUUUGAACUACUUUUGCAACGAGGGAUUCUGCUCGACUGAUAAUGAAACCGUGGGAUAGACCUCGGGGAGACAUCUCACAGUGGGAUCCUUCCUGCUGUACUUCGUGCAUGGAGCUGUGUUGUACUUCUCCAGUCUGCGCUGUGGUGAAGCAACGAAUUGAGAGCUGAAUUGCCCACGAUUUAAUGGCUUCAAGGAGAUGAGUACUACUUAGAGAGUAAGUUACCCCUCACUGUGAGCUUGAGUGGCAGAAUUUAGCUCUUUUGUUUCUGAAAACUGAUGUUUUCAAUUCUACGCACUUCAAUUCUGCAAACUGUUUUUCAUGGAAAGAGACAGAAAUAAAAACUUGCAAGGAUG
rnacentral:lncRNA from 7 species